UGAAAGUCUGUCAGUCCCUAAACACUCCCGCUUCUAAGUGCUCGGCAAUGCUUGAAUCCCCAAGCUAACCAAAACCUUGUAUAGGAUAGGCUCUGGCUUUGUUCUGGAAGACUGCGCCUGUGUGAAAAUGGUUAUAGAGCACCAACCACUUCAGUAUUUUAACUCUGAUCAGCAACAGAUCACUUUCAAGCACUUCAUAUCUGACCCUGAUGCUUCAGUCACUGACAUAUGAGGCUACAGUGAGAAGACUGCUGUCUAUGAACCAGGAAGUGGGCUCCCACCGGACACUGAAUCUGCCAGCACCUUGAUCUUGGACUUCCUAGCCUUCAGAACAACUAACAUUUCAUCCAUUCUUCCAUGAGCCUGUCAAUCUGUUCUUGACCAAGAAGAUAAUACUGCAAAGGACAAGAUCUAAAUGGAGCCAAAGCAAUCAAGCUCUAAAAUCUGUGAAUAGACUUGUUAAAUAUAAGCAGUUUCAGAAAUGUAACAUUUAGCCACUGUUAAUAAUCCAAAACAUGAACUUACUUGACACCAGGGCAAAGAAGAGCCCUUCUGGAUGAAGUCCAAUAACGCUGUUUCAAGAUGCUGAACAUCUGGUUGGUCACAUUGGAAUUCAGCCUUAUUUUUGCCACCUUCUUUAUGGUCUGUCUUCCCUUUGUGACAUGGGCACCUGCACUAUCUAAACAUCCAUUACCGUGCGACUGAUGGAAGGCCCAAGUGCUCAGUGUUUUUAUCGGAGUGCUUUAACAGUUCCUCUAAGGAUAAAGCCGAGA